rnacentral:tRNA from 1 species
GGAUAUAGCUCAGUUGGUAGAGUGCUUGCCUUGCAUGUACAACACCCUGGGUUCGAUCCCCAGGACCA